UUUAUGUGAGGGUUUGAACGUGUGUAUGUGUGAAUGUUGCAAGGUGUGGGACACUAAUAUGUACCUUUGCUGAGUGUAAAUGUUUUAGAGGCAUCUUGGGCAGCAGGCUGAAAGCAUCUUUGACAUAAUUACAAGUGUCAAAGCUAAAGAGGAGGUUCCCUAAGGAACGAGGACUGGCAGAGUUGCUGCUAUUCAUUUGGGAAGCAAGAUUAAAGGACUUCUUCUUUUGAGACACACCUCUGGAAUCAAACGUUUGGUGGGCCAGCAUGCACAAUACCAGGACCCUGAAACUGAAGCAGCUAAAUGGAAAGGCACCAGUGUGUAGGAUUAAUGGCUUCUAGCAGUGAAGUUGCAGAUUGCAACCAACUGAAUAUAGCUCACCUUCCAGGCGUGUAAGGGCAACUACCGUGACAACAAAACUCACAAAUAAAACGCAAACGUCUGUUCUGGGUUACCGUAGAAACAUGGCGGUUCAACAUGGUGGCCUCCGUGGAAGAGGACCCGCUCCCUCUGUGGAUACAAAUAGCAUGUUUAUCCAAUCAAUGCAACCAUCAGAACCAGCUCUCCAACAGGCCUUUCCUGUCACCUGAUCAGCGGUCAUGCUUCACAUCCAUCCAGAUUUUCAGCCAGGCUGUUCUUCCACCACCAGUGUCCAGGCUCCAUUGGAAGGAUUUUUUUGUGCGACCACCCCUGUAAAAUGACGAUGCCACAAUGCGGUCUAAUCACCAAAGGCUCCUAACAUGUCUCUCCAACUUUUCCCGGUGUGCAGAUAAAUGAUUGUAAUUACUCUCCUUCUUUCAAGUAGUCUCUCAUAAUUGAAAUAACAUGCAUUGCAUUGUAGCAAUUGCUGAAACGGAGCUAUUAGUAAUGUUAUCAGUUCCACCUGUGCUUUUCCUGUUUUGACUGUCAAUAAGUCGAAUUCCUUUUAGGAAUGAUAAUGAAACCUGACUGCUUGGCUAGCAUGGCCAUCAAGAUUUAAGAAAGCAAGAUUCUGACAGCAAUUUGUGAACUACAUAAUGGACAGAUUUUUGACACAGUAGAGAAGCAGGUGAUGCUCAUCAAACAUUUUAUAUUUUUGGCUUUUAAAAGAAGGAAUAACAAUAUAAUGAAGUUUAGGACCCACUCAUGCAAGCAAACUGCCUGAGCACCAGUUGAUUACUGGCGUGGACAGAUACCAAUGCUGAGUGUUUAGAAAAGCAAAUUAACCGGCUUUGUCAUAUUGAUUGGUAAUACAUAAAUGAUGCAUCUUUACUUGUCUGAGAAGUCCAAGCUAAACUCCUCCCAAACACAGAAUCAAAGUAAUGUAAUACUUAUGAUCUUAUUCAGUCCAGACAAAAUUUUUCAGCACACCCAGCUCUGUCCAAAUGCUGGAAACCAGAGAAAUUGGUAUCUGUGAUGUCAUGGAAAAAAUAAACAGACCUAAAUGUUUGAGA